rnacentral:rRNA from 1 species
GUCCACGCUGUAAACGAUGAACACUAGAUGUCGGGAGGGGUUCCUUCCGGUGUCGUCGCUAACGCAGUAAGUGUUCCGCCUGGGGAGUACGUUCGCAAGGAUGAAACUCAAAGGAAUUGACGGGGCCCGCACAAGCGGUGGAGCAUGUGGUUUAAUUCGAUGAUACGCGAGGAACCUUACCAAGGCUUAAAUGUAGAUUGACCGAUUUUGGAAACAGAUCUUUCGCAAGACAAUUUACAAGGUGCUGCAUGGUUGUCGU